rnacentral:rRNA from 1 species
AGGAAUGUAUAGCAAAAGCUAGUUGCAUCAUUGUAAAGAUGAUGCAAUAUUGACUAUGUUGAAUAAAAUUCUAGGUAGAAUUAUGAUAAUGACAUUGUCUGCCUAUGUGUCUUGACCAAAUUACGUGCCAGCAGUCGCGGUAAUACGUAGAAGACUAGUGUUAUUCAUGUUUUCGGUUUAAAGGGUACCUAGACGGCAGAUCAAGCUUUCCGAGCAGAAAAAAAAGUAAAAGGACUAAUUUGCUAGAGUUACUUACGAGGGGGUUUUAAAGUACUGCUGGUGUAGAGAUGAAAUUCUUUAAUACCUAUUUUCGAAAGAAUUAUAAUGGCACAGGUAUAGGCGAAGGCAUCCCCUUAUGUGAUAACUGACGUUGAGGGACGAAGGCUUUAUACAACGAACGGGAUUAGAUACCCCAUUAGUGGAAGCAGUAAAUGAUGAAUGUCAUAGAUUAGCUAGAUAGGUUCAUUCUAUAAAUGAAAGUGUAAGCAUUCCACCUCCUGAGUAAUAUGGCAACAUUGGAAUUGAAAUCAUUAGACCGUAUCUGAAACCAGUAGUGAAGUAUGUUGUUUAAUUUGAUGAUCCGCAAAAAACCUUACCACAAUUUGAAUAUUUAUAUUUUUUUUUAUUGUUUUGUCAUUAAUUUUCUUCUCUUUACAGAAAUAACAUAACAUUCAAGUAAAGUGGAAAAAAAUUAAUAAAGAGGCAAUAAGAUAUAUUUACWAGCGUUGCACGGCUGUCUUCAGUUAAUGUCGCGAGAUUUUGGUUAGAUCCAUAAAAUUAACGUAAACCCUUACUUUAUUUUU